UACGGAAGGCAGCAGUGGGGAAUAUUGCACAAUGGGCGCAAGCCUGAUGCAGCCAUGCCGCGUGUAUGAAGAAGGCCUUCGGGUUGUAAAGUACUUUCAGUCGUGAGGAAGGUGUUAAGGUUAAUAACCUUAGUAAUUGACGUUAGCGACAGAAGAAGCACCGGCUAACCCCGUGCCAGCAGCCGCGGUAAUACGGAGGGUGCGAGCGUUAAUCGGAAUUACUGGGCGUAAAGGGCACGCAGGCGGUUAAUUAAGUUGGAUGUGAAAUCCCCGGGCUUAACCUGGGAAUGGCAUUCAAGACUGGUUAGCUAGAGUCUUGUAGAGGGGGUAGAAUUCCAUGUGUAGCGGUGAAAUGCGUAGAGAUGUGGAGGAAUACCGGUGGCAAAGGCGGCCCCUGGACAAAGACUGACGCUCAUGUGCGAAAGCGUGGGGAGCAAACGAGGAUUAGAUACC
rnacentral:rRNA from 1 species